rnacentral:rRNA from 1 species
UGGGGAAUCUUGGACAAUGGGGGCAACCCUGAUCCAGCCAUGCCGCGUGAGUGAUGAAGGCCUUAGGGUCGUAAAGCUCUUUCAACGGUGAAGAUGAUGACGGUAGCCGUAGAAGAAGCCCCGGCUAACUUCGUGCCAGCAGCCGCGGUAAUACGAAGGGGGCAAGCGUUGUUCGGAAUUACUGGGCGUAAAGGGCGUGUAGGCGGUCUAAUCAGUCAGAGGUGAAAGCCCUGGGCUCAACCCAGGAAUUGCCUUUGAUACUGUUAGACUAGAGUUCGGGAGAGGAUAGUGGAAUUCCCAGUGUAGAGGUGAAAUUCGUAGAUAUUGGGAAGAACACCAGUGGCGAAGGCGGCUAUCUGGACCGAUACUGACGCUGAGGCGCGAAAGCGUGGGGAGCAAACAGGAUUAGAUACCCUGGUAGUCCACGCCGUAAACGAUGUCUGCUAGUCGUUGGGGGGCCGUAGCCCUUCAGUGGACGCCGCUAACGCAUUAAGCAGACCGCCUGGGGAGUACGGCCGCAAGGUUAAAACUCAAAGG